rnacentral:rRNA from 1 species
AUUGAACGCUGGCGGCAUGCCUUACACAUGCAAGUCGAACGGUAACAGGUCUUCGGAUGCUGACGAGUGGCGAACGGGUGAGUAAUACAUCGGAACGUGCCUAGUAGUGGGGGAUAACUACUCGAAAGAGUGGCUAAUACCGCAUGAGAUCUACGGAUGAAAGCAGGGGAUCGCAAGACCUCGUGCUACUAGAGCGGCCGAUGGCAGAUUAGGUAGUUGGUGGGAUAAAAGCUUACCAAGCCGACGAUCUGUAGCUGGUCUGAGAGGACGAUCAGCCACACUGGGACUGAGACACGGCCCAGACUCCUACGGGAGGCAGCAGUGGGGAAUUUUGGACAAUGGGCGCAAGCCUGAUCCAGCAAUGCCGCGUGCAGGAUGAAGGCUUUCGGGUUGUAAACUGCUUUUGUACGGAACGAAAAGCCCUGGGUUAAUACCCUGGGGUCAUGACGGUACCGUAAGAAUAAGCACCGGCUAACUACGUGCCAGCCGCCGCAGUAA